AACAGGAUUAGAUACCCUGGUAGUCCACGCCGUAAACGAUGUCGACUUGGAGGCUGUUCCCUUGAGGAGUGGCUUCCGGAGCUAACGCGUUAAGUCGACCGCCUGGGGAGUACGGCCGCAAGGUUAAAACUCAAAUGAAUUGACGGGGGCCCGCACAAGCGGUGGAGCAUGUGGUUUAAUUCGAUGCAACGCGAAGAACCUUACCUACUCCUGACAUCCAGAGAAUUUAGCAGAGAUGCUUUAGUGCCUUCGGGAACUCUGAGACAGGUGCUGCAUGGCUGUCGUCAGCUCGUGUUGUGAAAUGUUGGGUUAAGUCCCGCAACGAGCGCAACCCUUAUCCUUUGUUGCCAGCACGUAAUGGUUGGAACUCAAAGGAGACUGCCGGUGAUAAACCGGAGGAAGGUGGGGAUGACGUCAAGUCAUCAUGGCCCUUACGAGUAGGGCUACACACGUGCUACAAUGGCGCAUACAAAGAGAAGCGACCUCGCGAGAGCAAGCGGACCUCAUAAAGUGCGUCGUAGUCCGGAUUGGAGUCUGCAACUCGACUCCAUGAAGUCGGAAUCGCUAGUAAUCGUAAAUCAGAAUGUUACGGUGAAUACGUUCCCGGGCCUUGUACACACCGCCCGUCACACCAUGGGAGUGGGUUGCAAAAGAAGUAGAUAGCUUAACCUUCGGGAGGGCGUUUACCACUUUGUGAUUCAUGACUGGGGUGAAGUCGUAACAAGGUAACCGUAGGGGAACCUGCGGCUGGAUCACCUCCUU
rnacentral:rRNA from 1 species